rnacentral:tRNA from 1 species
GUGGGUAUAUCUCAGGGGCAGAGUGUGUACUUAGCGUGCACUAGGUCCUGGGUUCAAUCCCCAGUACCCCCA